CGCGUAGGCGGUCUUGUAAGUCAGAUGUGAAAGCCCCGGGCUCAACCCGGGAAUAGCAUUUGAUACUGCGAGGCUUGAGUCCGGGAGAGGAUGGCGGAAUUCCCAGUGUAGAGGUGAAAUUCGUAGAUAUUGGGAAGAACACCGGUGGCGAAGGCGGCCAUCUGGACCGGUACUGACGCUGAGGCGCGAAAGCGUGGGGAGCAAACAGGAUUAGAUACCCUGGUAGUCCACGCCGUAAACGAUGAGUGCUAGACGCUGGGGGGUUAACCCUUCGGUGUCGCAGCUAACGCAUUAAGCACUCCGCCUGGGGAGUACGGCCGCAAGGUUGAA
rnacentral:rRNA from 1 species